GCGAGUUUUCAACUCCCAACCCUUGCGAACCGUACCCCGUUCUGUUCUCGUUGCCUCUGGCGGGAGGGGGCGGGGGGCCGCCCCUCGGGGCGCGCCCCCCUGCCUCCCCCGGUCCCCUGACGGGGCGCCCGCCAGCGGCCGCGAGCCGCCCGAACUUUUAUCACAACCGUAACCGUCCCGUCUGAGAAACAAACAAAAACAGCCA
rnacentral:misc_RNA from 1 species